GCGUUCCAGAUCAUAAAUCAUAAAGUUUCUAUUGUCAAUAUACCAAAUAAUGUAAAAUAAUAACAAAAAAAGGUUAAAAUGUACAUUUGCCUCCUUCCACCUCUCUAAAUCCGUGCUUUUCAUGCGCAAAUUGUGCAUUUAAGUCGACAAUGGCGAGCCAACAAAGGCAACGGAAUGGGAUGCGAAGUACUCGUUAUAUGGGAUAUGGAACAUAGGAUAUAGGAUACGUUGUGUGCUCCUGCUUCGGAUGCAGCCCAGCGAUGCAGAGUCCUUAUUGUGAUGCCUACUUUUACUUUUGUUCGGUGUGCAACUAACUGAGGGCGGUCGGGAGGCGUUUUGCUGUCAAGUCUUCGAGCUCGAAGCCCCUUAUUGGUGGUUGGUAGGGAGCAGUGUGGGAUUCGAGCUGAUGAAAACUACUGUAAGGAAAACUAGGUUUUACAACGUAACUGCGUUUUUUUAAAUAGGAUGCAAAAGCUUAAAACAAACCUUUGUAAAAUUUUAGCAAGCAUUAAAUUAUUUUAUAUUUUCAGCUGUUCA